CCUACGGGGGGCUGCAGUAAGGAAUAUUGGUCAAUGGACGCAAGUCUGAACCAGCCAUGCCGCGUGGAGGAUGAAGGUCCUCUGGAUUGUAAACUUCUUUUAUUUGGGAAGAAACUCCCGAUUUCCAUCGGGAUUGACGGUACCAGAUGAAUAAGCACCGGCUAACUCCGUGCCAGCAGCCGCGGUAAUACGGAGGGUGCAAGCGUUAUUCGGAUUAACUGGGUUGUAAGGGUGCGUGUAAGGGCAGGUAGAAAUCUCCGGGCUUAACCCGGAAACUGCCAUUGAUACUAUUUGUCUUGAAGACUCUGGAGGUGAGCGGAAUAUGUCAUGUAGCGGUGAAAUGCUUAGAUAUGACAUAGAACACCCAUUGCGAAGGCAGCUCACUACGGAAAUAUUGACGCUGAGGCACGAAAGCGUGGGGAUCAAACAGGAUUAGAUACCCUAGUAGUC
rnacentral:rRNA from 1 species